AGAUUCCUCACCCUCAAUGUUUGAGCAUAACUGGGAGGAACCAAGUACAACAAUGGCUUCAGUUUUUACACAUUAGGGGACUGAAGACGGAACACUGAAAUGGCCUGACUGGAGAUGAUCUGGCAGCAGGUGUAUGUCCACAUGGGACAGGCUGAAAAGCCUUUGAAAGCGGUAAAUUAAUUAUCUUUGGAAAAUGAAUAAAUGAAUGAAUGAUCGAU